UACGGAGGGAGCUAGCGGUGUUCGGAAUUACUGGGCGUAAAGCGCACGUAGGCGGCUUUGUAAGUUAUAGGUGAAAGCCUAGAGCUCAACUCCAGAACUGCCUUUAAGACUGCAUCGCUUGAAUCCAGGAGAGGUGAGUGGAAUUCCGAGUGUAGAGGUGAAAUUCGUAGAUAUUCGGAAGAACACCAGUGGCGAAGGCAGCUCACUGGACAGGUAUUGACGCUGAGGUGCGAAAGCAUGGGGAGCAAACAGG
rnacentral:rRNA from 1 species